GUAAGGUUUUAAGUUAAAAAAACUAUAAGCCUUCAAAGCUUAAAAUAAAGAAAUAUCUUUAAACCUUGCGC
rnacentral:tRNA from 1 species